rnacentral:rRNA from 1 species
GACAGAGGUCUCGAGCGUUAGGCGGAAUCACUGGGCUUAAAGCGUGUGUAGGUGGAUGCCUAAGUACCUUGUGAAAUCCCACGGCUUAACCGUGGAACUGCUUGGUAUACUGGGUGUCUUGAGCCAGCUAGGGGCUACCGGAACAAAUGGUGGAGCGGUGAAAUGCGUAGAUAUCAUUUGGAACGCCAAUGGUGAAAACAGGUAGCUGGGGAUGUGCCGACGCUGAGACACGAAAGCCAGGGGAGCGAACGGG